CUGGUAUUUUAUUAUUUUCGCAUUUGUCUUAAAGCACGCACAAACUUCCAAAGCCACAUUAGAAAACCCGAAUGUCAUUUUACCUACCGAACUUGUACUACUAUCGGACGAGUAUCACCUAUAUCUAGAGCAAUUUAGGUCGCCCUAGGCCAGACCCGGAACGUUAGUAUCCUCAGCGCAUUCGACCAAGCUACAGUCAAAACAAACAUUUCAGAACACAAUCGUUUGAAGAUUUUUGAGUGUAAGCAGACAGCAUCAUGAGCGAUUCUUCAGAGCAGACAAACGCAGGGCCCUAAGAAAAUAAGAAAGAUGUGACCGACAAAUACACCGUUUUGGAGACUAGGCCGAAGAAGGCCUCAGAGCAGCCGGCUCUAGACCGGAAGACACGGCGGCACAUAUUUGAUGUUCCACCCAAAGAGAGUUGCUUCGGGUUGGGUGGAGAAGAAACAGGAGAGUUUAAUUAAGAUCAAGUAUUUAUACUAAAUCAGUGUGUUCUACAUUAUAAUCAUUAUACUUUUUUAUUGCAUUAAUAAGCAUGUACGUGUGAAAGUAUUGUAUUUUACUAUAAACAUUUGUACAAAUACAUAUAUAUGUAACUGUUAAUUGCCACACGAAACUUGAAAUACAUGUUUUAAAAUUU